rnacentral:rRNA from 1 species
AGUGAACGCUGGCGGUAGGCCUAACACAUGCAAGUCGAACGGCAGCACAGUAAGAGCUUGCUCUUACGGGUGGCGAGUGGCGGACGGGUGAGGAAUACAUCGGAAUCUACUUUUUCGUGGGGGAUAACGUAGGGAAACUUACGCUAAUACCGCAUACGACCUACGGGUGAAAGCAGGGGAUCUUCGGACCUUGCGCGAUUGAAUGAGCCGAUGUCGGAUUAGCUAGUUGGCGGGGUAAAGGCCCACCAAGGCGACGAUCCGUAGCUGGUCUGAGAGGAUGAUCAGCAACACUGGAACUGAGAAACGGUCCAGACUCCUACGGGAGGCAGAAGUGGGGAAUAUUGGACAAUGGGCGCAAGCCUGAUCCAGCCAUACCGCGUGGGUGAAGAAGGCCUUCGGGUUGUAAAGCCCUUUUGUUGGGAAAGAAAAGCAGCAGGUUAAUACCCCGCUGUUCUGACGGUACCCAAAGAAUAAGCACCGGCUAACUUCGUG